rnacentral:rRNA from 1 species
CUGCGGACUUUCGUAGGUUAACUUGGGAGGGAUCAUU